GUAAGAAAUUCAUAGAAUAGGAAAUUUAUUAGAAAAUAGUCGAAUUACGAAAUAUCACCAGGGCGGUCAGGACUGGAGAGAUUUGAAACCAUGACCAGAGCCCUCUAGUGGCAACAGUGUCAGUAGACGAAAGUUUGUUUGCUGUAACGUUAGAUGGCAAUAUGACAAAUCCAAUGUCAUUUCUUCUAAAGACACUGAGCGGAAAGGUUACUCAUUCUUUAUUAUUGCAGGUUAUUCAAUCUUACAGUUACUCAUUCAUUCUGGUGUGUUUUUUCCAUGUUUUUUUACUGACAUACUUGGUGUGUUGAAACUGCUAUCCAUUUUUUCCAAAAUGUCUCUUGCUCGUUUCGUCACUUUCAGAACAAUUAAAGUAAUUAUAGUUGAUCGCUACAGAUUUAGUUAAUGACAAGAGAGUAGACCCCUUUGCUUCUCUGUUGCAAUUAUGAGUUAAGAUCAUUUUUUAAAAUUUGGAUUACAUUUGUUAUUUUCAAGUUGGAAAACUUGACAACUACAAAUUCCUUUGUAAGAUUUAUCAAGGUAAUUCUGAGAGAUUGUAUAGUUUAACUUCAUACUUCUGUCGUUUUGUUAUGUCACAUGAGAUUAUGUUCCUUGAUAGUAACUUAACUUUGUUUUUCAAUAGCCAGGUGAAGUCUGCGCUUCUUUGUUGCAGUCUCAUGUGCGCAUGGAUUUUUUGUUGCAGUCAUCCAGUGAAAGGUGUGAUUAAAUUGAGCUGUUGCAUGCAGUCUUUGGUGCUGAUGUUGUCCUGGAGUGUGGGAGAGUUCCAUGCAUGCUUCAAGUCUUCUGGGAUCAGCCAUAUCUGAGUUGACGCUGGAUCAUGCUGCAUUGUGGUUGCCGAAAUGUUGGACAUCUAGUAGAACUGCAAGAAGACUCCUUGAAAUGGUUUAUGUUUACGUAGCAGUGAUGUUGCUGUCCAAUAUGGCAUGUUGUUGCAGCCUAUACUGGUGAAAGUUUUUUUGCAUCGAGUUAUGCUGUUGCUGUUCCUUGGUGCCGGACUGCUGGUGUUGUGCACAAAAGUUACAUCCAGUUUUAAUUGUUAUUUGUGUCUAUGCAGUUAACCGUUUAUUUGUUGAAAAGGAACAGAAAAGUUUCUUGGUGCUGAAUCGCUGGUGUUGUGCUACAUCAGUUACAUCCAGUAUUUUGUUUAAUUGAUAUUUGCGUCUAUGAAGUUAACCGUUUAUAUGUUGAGAAUGAAAAAAAUAGUAAUACGGGGAAUUUUUACGUUGAACAAAUAAUAAACAUGCCUUCGCGAUUGGGAAACCAGCGAGGAGGAGAUUGGGGGGGAGGGGGGCAAUUGAUUUUCAUUUCGUGGUUUGUUUUAAUAACGUUGACAUAAAAUCCUUUGUCUAUCACAUCCAUAUACCUACCUAUAUAACAACAUCUAUUCCUUAAACCCCAUAACAUCCACCAACAUCCAUUCCUUAAACCCCAUAUCUUCCACCAACACCCAUUUCUUGAACCCCAUUUCCCCACAAAUGUCAAAUAUCUAUAAUAUGUAAAUGUUAUUGUUGAAUAAAUAAACCAUCUAUGUAAUAUAUAAA
rnacentral:lncRNA from 1 species